AGUGAACGCUGGCGGUAGGCCUAACACAUGCAAGUCGAACGGCAGCACAGUAAGAGCUUGCUCUUACGGGUGGCGAGUGGCGGACGGGUGAGGAAUACAUCGGAAUCUACUUUUUCGUGGGGGAUAACGUAGGGAAACUUACGCUAAUACCGCAUACGACCUACGGGUGAAAGCAGGGGAUCUUCGGACCUUGCGCGAUUGAAUGAGCCGAUGUCGGAUUAGCUAGUUGGCGGGGUAAAGGCCCACCAAGGCGACGAUCCGUAGCUGGUCUGAGAGGAUGAUCAGCCACACUGGAACUGAGACACGGUCCAGACUCCUACGGGAGGCAGCAGUGGGGAAUAUUGGACAAUGGGCGCAAGCCUGAUCCAGCCAUACCGCGUGUGUGAAGAAGGCCUUCGGGUUGUAAGGCCCUUUUGUUGGGAAAGAAAAGCAGCAGGUUAAUACCCCGCUGUUCUGACGGUACCCAAAGAAUAAGCACCGGCUAACUUCGUG
rnacentral:rRNA from 1 species